rnacentral:rRNA from 1 species
AUGAACGCUAGCUACAGGCUUAACACAUGCAAGUCGAGGGGCAGCAUUUUAGUUUGCUUGCAAACUGAAGAUGGCGACCGGCGCACGGGUGAGUAACGCGUAUCCAACCUGCCGAUAACUCCGGAAUAGCCUUUCGAAAGAAAGAUUAAUACCGGAUAGUAUACGAAUAUCGCAUGAUAUUUUUAUUAAAGAAUUUCGGUUAUCGAUGGGGAUGCGUUCCAUUAGUUUGUUGGCGGGGUAACGGCCCACCAAGACUACGAUGGAUAGGGGUUCUGAGAGGAAGGUCCCCCACAUUGGAACUGAGACACGGUCCAAACUCCUACGGGAGGCAGCAGUGAGGAAUAUUGGUCAAUGGGCGCGAGCCUGAACCAGCCAAGUAGCGUGAAGGAUGAAGGCUCUAUGGGUCGUAAACUUCUUUUAUAUGGGAAUAAAGUUUUCCACGUGUGGAAUUUUGUAUGUACCAUAUGAAUAAGGAUCGGCUAACUCCGUGCCAGCAGCCGCGGUAAUACGGAGGAUCCGAGCGUUAUCCGGAUUUAUUGGGUUUAAAGGGAGCGUAGGUGGAUUGUUAAGUCAGUUGUGAAAGUUUGCGGCUCAACCGUAAAAUUGCAGUUGAAACUGGCAGUCUUGAGUACAGUAGAGGUGGGCGGAAUUCGUGGUGUAGCGGUGAAAUGCUUAGAUAUCACGAAGAACUCCGAUUGCGAAGGCAGCUCACUAGACUGUCACUGACACUGAUGCUCGAAAGUGUGGGUAUCAAACAGGAUUAGAUACCCUGGUAGUCCACACAGUAAACGAUGAAUACUCGCUGUUUGCGAUAUACAGUAAGCGGCCAAGCGAAAGCAUUAAGUAUUCCACCUGGGGAGUACGCCGGCAACGGUGAAACUCAAAGGAAUUGACGGGGGCCCGCACAAGCGGAGGAACAUGUGGUUUAAUUCGAUGAUACGCGAGGAACCUUACCCGGGCUUAAAUUGCAACAGAAUAUAUUGGAAACAGUAUAGCCGUAAGGCUGUUGUGAAGGUGCUGCAUGGUUGUCGUCAGCUCGUGCCGUGAGGUGUCGGCUUAAGUGCCAUAACGAGCGCAACCCUUAUCUUUAGUUACUAACAGGUUAUGCUGAGGACUCUAGAGAGACUGCCGUCGUAAGAUGUGAGGAAGGUGGGGAUGACGUCAAAUCAGCACGGCCCUUACGUCCGGGGCUACACACGUGUUACAAUGGGGGGUACAGAAGGCGGCUACCUGGUGACAGGAUGCUAAUCCCAAAAACCUCUCUCAGUUCGGAUCGAAGUCUGCAACCCGACUUCGUGAAGCUGGAUUCGCUAGUAAUCGCGCAUCAGCCAUGGCGCGGUGAAUACGUUCCCGGGCCUUGUACACACCGCCCGUCAAGCCAUGAAAGCCGGGGGUACCUGAAGUACGUAACCGCAAGGAGCGUCCUAGGGUAAAACUGGUAAUUGGGGCU